rnacentral:rRNA from 1 species
AGCGGCGGACGGGUGAGUAACGCGUGGGUAACCUGCCUUGUACAGAGGGAUAGCCAUUGGAAACGGUGAUUAAUACCUCAUAAAGCUAAAUCAUCGCAUGAUGAAAUAGCCAAAACUCAGGUGGUACAAGAUGGACCCGCGUCUGAUUAGCUAGUUGGUGGGGUAAAGGCCUACCAAGGCGACGAUCAGUAGCCGACCUGAGAGGGUGAUCGGCCACACUGGAACUGAGACACGGUCCAGACUCCUACGGGAGGCAGCAGUGGGGAAUAUUGCACAAUGGGCGAAAGCCUGAUGCAGCAACGCCGCGUGAGCGAAGAAGGCCUUCGGGUCGUAAAGCUCUGUCCUAAGGGAAGAAGAAUGACGGUACCUUAGGAGGAAGCCCCGGCUAACUACGUGCCAGCAGCCGCGGUAAUACGUAGGGGGCGAGCGUUAUCCGGAAUCACUGGGCGUAAAGGGUGCGUAGGCGGCCAAAUAAGCCAGGGGUGAAAGGCUACGGCUCAACCGUAGUAAGCCUUUGGAACUGUAUGGCUUGAGUGCAGGAGAGGAGAGUGGAAUUCCUAGUGUAGCGGUGAAAUGCNNANAUAUUAGGAGGAACACCAGUGGCGAANGCNACUCUCUGGACUGCAACUGACGCUGAGGCACGAAAGCGUGGGGANNGANNAGGAUUANAUACCCUGGUAGUCCNCNCCGUAAACGAUGANUGCUAGGUGUCGGGGG